GACGAACGCUGGCGGCGUGCCUAAUACAUGCAAGUAGAACGCUGAAGCUUGGUGCUUGCCCCGAGCGGAUGAGUUGCGAACGGGUGAGUAACGCGUAGGUAACCUGCCUGGUAGCGGGGGAUAACUAUUGGAAACGAUAGCUAAUACCGCAUAACAGUAGAUAUCGCAUGAUAGCUACUUGAAAGGUGCAAAUGCACCACUACCAGAUGGACCUGCGUUGUAUUAGCUAGUUGGUGAGGUAACGGCUCACCAAGGCAACGAUACAUAGCCGACCUGAGAGGGUGAUCGGCCACACUGGGACUGAGACACGGCCCAGACUCCUACGGGAGGCAGCAGUAGGGAAUCUUCGGCAAUGGACGGAAGUCUGACCGAGCAACGCCGCGUGAGUGAAGAAGGUUUUCGGAUCGUAAAGCUCUGUUGUAAGAGAAGAACGAGUGUGAGAGUGGAAAGUUCACACUGUGACGGUAUCUUACCAGAAAGGGACGGCUAACUACGUG
rnacentral:rRNA from 1 species